rnacentral:rRNA from 1 species
UACAGAGGGUGCGAGCGUUAAUCGGAAUUACUGGGCGUAAAGCGUGCGUAGACGGUCAUGUAAGUCACCUGUGAAAUCUCCUGGCUCAACUGGGAGCUUGCAGGCGAAACUGCCGUGCUGGAGUGUGGGAGAGGUGCGUGGAAUUCCUGGUGUAGCGGUGAAAUGCGUAGAUAUCAGGAGGAACACCUGUGGCGAAAGCGGCGCACUGGACCACAACUGACGCUGAGGCGCGAAAGCUAGGGGAGCAAACAGG